UGACCUCAGAUCAGGCAAGGCUACCCGCUGAAUUUAAGCAUAUUAAUAAGCGGAGGAAAAGAAACUAACAAGGAUUCCCCUAGUAAUGGCGAAUGAAGCGGGAACAGCUCAAAUUUAAAAUCUCCGUUGCUUGCAACGGCGAAUUGUAGUUUCGAGAAGCACUUUCUCGGCGGAUCCGAGGUCGUCCAAGUUGCUUGGAACAGCACGUCGUAGAGGGUGACAACCCCGUCUGCGGCGACCUCGGCCGUUCACGAUGUGCUUUCGACGAGUCGGGUUGUUUGGGAAUGCAGCCCAAAAUGGGUGGUAAACUCCAUCUAAAGCUAAAUAUUGGCACGAGACCGAUAGCGAACAAGUACCGUGAGGGAAAGAUGAAAAGCACUUUGAAAAGAGAGUUAAAAAGUACGUGAAACCGUUAAAAGGGAAACGAAUGGGGUUAGCAAUGCGUCGUGCGAGAUUCAGCCGGUGGGUGGGCCAGGCGGGCGGUUGGCGGAUCUGAAUGGACCGCUGCCGUUUGGGUUGGUUUCCCGACCGUCGCACUUCUCGCAGGCGCGCGCCAACGUCGGUUAGGGCUGGGUAUCAAAGGCGGUGGAAAGGUAGGUUUGGACUCUCGGGCCCGAACUGUUACAGUCCUCCGUUUGUCAUGGCCCGGACCUGACCGUGGAGCUUGCGGUGCAUGCCGUUCGGCUAGGGUCCCGUCUUCCCGGUCGGUCGUCGAAUGCGGUGGACUGCAUGCAGUGCGCCGCGACUGCUGCCGGUCGCGAGGGCGUGAUUUCGUACUAUGCACCCACGACGUUGGCGACCAUAUGGCCUCAUCCGACCCGUCUUGAAACACGGACCAAGGAGUCUAACAUGUGUGCGAGUCUUUGAGUGAUCGAAACUCCGAGGCGAAAUGAAAGUGAAGGCGACUUCGGUCGCUGAGGUGAGAGCCUUUUACAAAAAAAGGCGCAUCAUUGACCGACCUAUUCUACUCUUAGAAAGGUUUGAGUAAGAGCGCAUCUGUUGGGACCCGAAAGAUGGUGAACUAUGCCUGAAUAGGGUGAAGCCAGAGGAAACUCUGGUGGAGGCUCGUAGCGAUUCUGACGUGCAAAUCGAUCGUCAAAUUUGGGUAUAGGGGCGAAAGACUAAUCGAACUGUCUAGUAGCUGGUUCCCUCCGAAGUUUCCCUCAGGAUAGCUGGAACUUACGGCAGUUUUAUCAGGUAAAGCGAAUGAUUAGAGGUCUUAGGGUUAAAACAACCUUAACCUAUUCUCAAACUUUAAAUUGGUAAGAAGUCCGACUUGCUUAAUUAAAGCCGGACAGUGAAUGCAAGUUCCUAGUGGGCCAUUUUUGUAAGCAGAACUGGCGAUGCGGG
rnacentral:ncRNA from 1 species